UCAGGAUGAACGCUAGCUACAGGCUUAACACAUGCAAGUCGAGGGGCAGCAUGAUCAAAGCUUGCUUUGAUUGAUGGCGACCGGCGCACGGGUGAGUAACGCGUAUCCAACCUUCCCCUUAGUAGGGCAUAGCCCGGCGAAAGUCGGAUUAACACCCUAUGUUGUUCAUUGAGAGCAUUUGACGUGAACCAAAGAUUCAUCGCUAAGGGAUGGGGAUGCGUCUGAUUAGGUAGUCGGCGGGGUAACGGCCCACCGAGCCGACGAUCAGUAGGGGUUCUGAGAGGAAGGUCCCCCACAUUGGAACCGAGACACGGUCCAAACUCCUACGGGAGGCAGCAGUGAGGAAUAUUGGUCAAUGGACGGAAGUCUGAACCAGCCAAGUAAGCGUGCAGGAUGACGGCCCUAUGGGUUGUAAACUGCUUUUAUAUAGGGAUAAAGUCGGGGACGUGUCCCCGUUUGUAGGUACUAUAUGAAUAAGGACCGGCUAAUUCCGUGCCAGCAGCCGC
rnacentral:rRNA from 1 species